GGCUCGGUGGUCUAGGGGUAUGAUUCUCGCAAUGGGUGCGAGAGGUCCCGUGUUCGAAUCUCGGCCGAGCCC